UACGUAGGUGGCGAGCGUUGUCCGGAUUUACUGGGCGUAAAGAGCGCGCAGGCGGUCGGCCAAGUCGAGUGUGAAAGCCCCCGGCUCAACUGGGGAGGGUCACUUGAUACUGGUCGACUCGAAGGCGGGAGAGGGAAGUGGAAUUCCCGGUGUAGUGGUGAAAUGCGUAGAUAUUCGGAAGAACACCAGUGGCGAAGGCGGCUCACUGGACCGGUAUUGACGCUGAGGCACGAAGGCCAGGGGAGCAAACGGG
rnacentral:rRNA from 1 species